AACGCUGAAAGCAUCUAAGUGUGAAGCCCACCUCAAGAUGAGAUUUCCCAUAGCAUAAGCUAGUAAGACCCCUUGAAGACUACAAGGUUGAUAGGUCAGAGGUGUAAGUGCGGUAACGUAUUUAGCUGACUGAUACUAAUAGGUCGAGGGCUUGACCAAUAUAA
rnacentral:rRNA from 1 species